rnacentral:rRNA from 1 species
UUGGCCCUACGGGGGGCAGCAGUGAGGAAUAUUGGUCAAUGGGCGCAAGCCUGAACCAGCCAAGUCGCGUGAGGGAUGACGGUCCUAUGGAUUGUAAACCUCUUUUGUCAGGGAACAAAGGCGGGGACGUGUCCCCGGAUGAGUGUACCUGAAGAAAAAGCAUCGGCUAACUCCGUGCCAGCAGCCGCGGUAAUACGGAGGAUGCGAGCGUUAUCCGGAUUUAUUGGGUUUAAAGGGUGCGCAGGCGGUCUGUUAAGUCAGCGGUCAAAGCCCGGGGCUCAACCCCGGCCCGCCG